UGUCUGACGGCCUUGAAGGUGACGGCCUCCUUGCAGCUGUCGAUGACCCCCAGCACGUCAUAGCGGGGCAAGCCGGACACCCGGACCCCCUGCACCUCCAGAAGCAGCUCCCCUUCGCCCAGCCUCGGGCCCUCGCCGCCGCCGGGAAGCCCCGCUGCCUCGACCGCCGCCACCGCUCCGACGUACGGAAACUCCCCGUGCUCCGCGCCUCCCAGCACCGUCACCCCCAGCUCGCCCUGGGGUCCCCGCUUCACGGUGCAUUCGUGAACCCUGCUAGUCCAGUGGUUCUUCUUCUGGAUCACUUUGGACAUGAUGAGUUACACCCCUCCUCCAAAAAAAUAAAACGAGAGACAGGUGCCCCCCACAGCACGAGCCCCCAAGCCUCCGCUUGUUCAUGGGAGAAACAUCUCUCCCCAAAUCACAAAACAGGAGAGAGAAACUUGGCAGCCUCGCUCCCCUGCACACGCUCGCGCACUCAAGCCAUCAUAAAACAAACUUUCUGGGCUUCCCCGCGAGCCCCGCACAGGCGCCCGCGAGCUUUGUUUGCAUUCCGGUGCCUCUGGGUCCACGUUCCGGCGCCCGCCCGUGCUCUCCCGGACCAGAGUCCACUCUGCGCCGCUCGGGUUAUUUUUUUUUCCUUCCUUCCUUUCUCUCUUGCCUUUUACAAAUGCGGUGCCUCCUCUUUGCCUCCCGCCCGGCUCGCCUCUCCUCGCUGGCAGGCUGUUACUGAGGGUGAGGGAAGCCCUUCCAGCCAGUUGCCGGGAGCCCUGAAGACGCGGUGGCGGGGCGGCGGGGAGCAGGGCGGGAGUGCCCUGGACUCCGCGGAUUCCUUUGGGGCUGGAGGGCCG
rnacentral:lncRNA from 1 species